rnacentral:lncRNA from 1 species
UGUAUUUAAAAUAUAGUGAUACAAACUCAUAUUUUAAAUUGUACAGUUAAAAUGCAUUGUUUAAACUAAUACAUAAGGGGCCAGGGAUAGAGCUCAGCGGCACACCGCCUGCUUGGCAAGAGCAAGGUCGUGAGUUCAAUUCCCAGGACCAAAUAAUAAUAAUAAUAAUAAUAAAUAAUAUACAUUAAUAGCAAGUUGUUAAAAAACAACAACAACAGUGUUUUAAAUUGUGUAGCAAAUUCACCAGAACCGUACUUUUAAAAAUAGUAGGUAAGAAGCAGGCAAAGCUUCAGCACUCCUCCGCGACACUGACAGGGCUGUGGAAUGUGUCGCUAGUGACACGCGCAGUUCACAACGGUGAAAGCGAUCACCGAGACGAAAGCUACUGCUGCGGAAGGAAACGCACAAGACGCCACGCGGCAAACCCGGUCGCCCGCGGGGACCGCACCGGGAAGGCCGGGGGUCCUCACCCCUCAGAGCGGGAGGCUCCCUGCGCAACCAGGGGCCGGGACAGGACAGCGAGACCGCAGGGCCGCGCACCGCGCUCACUGCAGUAUUCAAGUUCAUCUUAGAAGAAGUCAGUUAUUACCUGGCCCCAUGCUGCAUGGCUGUGAGAGACAUAGACUGAUGAAUCAGGUGAGGAGGAAGAGUUAAGAUCUAUCUGUUGCUGUAGCCCUAGAUGGACCAUUGUGCCCAUAUA